rnacentral:rRNA from 1 species
AGCGAACGCUGGCGGCAGGCCUAACACAUGCAAGUCGAACGAACCUUUCGGGGUUAGUGGCGGACGGGUGAGUAACACGUAGGAACGUGCCUUUAGGUUCGGAAUAACUCAGGGAAACUUGUGCUAAUACCGAAUGUGCCCUUCGGGGGAAAGAUUUAUCGCCUUUAGAGCGGCCCGCGUCUGAUUAGCUAGUUGGUUGAGGUAAUGGCUCACCAAGGCGACGAUCAGUAGCUGGUCUGAGAGGAGGAUCAGCCACAUUGGGACUGAGACACGGCCCAAACUCCUACGGGAGGCAGCAGUGGGGAAUCUUGCGCAAUGGGCGAAAGCCUGACGCAGCCAUGCCGCGUGAAUGAUGAAGGUCUUAGGAUUGUAAAAUUCUUUCACCGGGGACGAUAAUGACGGUACCCGGAGAAGAAGCCCCGGCUAACUUCGUG